CGAGUGAAGUGGGAAAAGCUCAACUUUGUAAUCUGGCUCUUUCAGAGUCCGAGUUGUAGUCUCGAGAAGCAACAUCCGCAUCGGACCUUGGGUAUGUCUGUUGGAAAACAGCGUCGUAGAGGGUGACAAUCCCGUUUGUACCAAGGACGACCGCGUGCAUUGUGGUGUGCUUUCCAAGAGUCGAGUUGUUUGGGAAUGCAGCUCAAAUUGGGUGGUAAAUUCCAUCUAAAGCUAAAUAUUGGCGAGAGACCGAUAGCGAACAAGUACCGUGAGGGAAAGAUGAAAAGCACUUUGGAAAGAGAAUGAAACAGUAUGUGAAAUUGCUGGAAGGGAAACGAUUGAAGUUAGACUUGCGUGGGCCCCACUCAGCCUUUUUGGUGUACUUGGGGCCCGUUGCAGGCCAGCAUCGGUUUGCUUCGCGGAAUAAGGGUGCGCGGGAUGUAGCUUCUUUUGAAGUGUUAUAAACGCGCACUGGAUGCCGAGUCGCAGACCGAGGAACGCAGCGUGUUUGUAGUGCCUGCAGGUACAGAGCGCUUAGG
rnacentral:rRNA from 1 species